rnacentral:rRNA from 1 species
GACGAACGCUGGCGGCGUGCCUAACACAUGCAAGUCGAGCGGGACUUGGAUCUUGCUUCAGUCUAGCGGCGACGGUGAGUAACGCGUGACGUCAACCUGGCCUCAAACUAGGGGGAAUAACGCAUCGAAAGAUGUGCUAAUACCGUCGGUAAGACCACCAGUGACCACAAUGGUCACAGGGGUCAAAGGAAGCAAGUCCCGGUUUGAGAUGGGCUUCGCGUCCGUAUUAGGCUACGUUGGUAGAGAUAACGGCCCACCAAGGCCGACGAUCGGUAGCCGACCUGGACGAGGGUGAGUCGGCCACAUUGGAACCUGAGAAACGGUCCGAG